AUCAUCCUAGUGAAGAGCAUGGAAGGCAUCAUCAGUGAUUAUCUCUCUGACUCUCAUUUGCUAAGCCUUCCUAGAGCAUUCUGACCUGCUUUCCAGGGUCACACUCUUUAUGUUUAUCACAUUGGAAUAUGCUUUUCUCCAUUUGGUCAUCAGAAAAGCCUUCUAUAGUCCUUAAAUACAAAAAAGCCCAAAUCAGAGAUAGCAGGGGAUUUCUUCUCAUGCAGAUUUGUCUGGUGAUUGCUUCUGGGACUAAAUAAAGAAGAAUUCUGUGAUUGUAUCCAAUCUUGUCACAGAUGAUGAAUAAAAUACAUAUGACUAGAAGUAAGCCUAUGCUGGGUGGUCAUUUUCUCAACCAAGAUAGAGUCGAAAAAUAGCACCACGGAAAUACUACUUGGACUGAGAGUUAAGAGACUUGAAAUCGAAUAUGUAUUCUGAUGAAGGUUGCAUGGUUUUCUGCAUCCUGAUUUCCUCUCAUUCUUGAAGAAUUACU